rnacentral:rRNA from 1 species
UAGAGUAAUGCGUGACCAACCUGCCCCAUGCUCCAGAAUAGCUCUUGGAAACGGGUGGUAAUGCUGGAUGCUCCAACUUGACGCAUGUCUUGUUGGGAAAGUGUUUAGUGGCAUGGGAUGGGGUCGCGUCCUAUCAGCUUGUAGGCGGGGUAAUGGCCCACCUAGGCUUCGACGGGUAGCCGGCCUGAGAGGGCGGACGGCCACAUUGGGACUGAGAUACGGCCCAGACUCCUACGGGAGGCAGCAGU